CGCAACAAAGACACCAGAGCUUGCUCUACCGUCUUUGUUGAGUAGCGAACGGGUGAGUAACGCGUGGGUAACCUGCCUUAUAGCGGGGGAUAACUAUUGGAAACGAUAGCUAAUACCGCAUAACAAUAGAGAUUGCAUAAUCUUUAUUUGAAAGUGCCAACUGGUACACUAUGAGAUGGACCCGCGUUGUAUUAGCUAGUUGGUAGUGUAAUGGACUACCAAGGCGAUGAUACAUAGCCGACCUGAGAGGGUGAUCGGCCACAUUGGGACUGAGACACGGCCCAAACUCCUACGGGAGGCAGCAGUAGGGAAUCUUCGGCAAUGGACGAAAGUCUGACCGAGCAACGCCGCGUGAGUGAAGAAGGUUUUCGGAUCGUAAAACUCUGUUGUUAGAGAAGAAUGUUGAUUAGAGUGGAAAAUUAAUCAAGUGACGGUAUCUAACCAGAAAGGGACGGCUAACUACGUGCCAGCAGCCGCGGUAAUACGUAGGUCCCGAGCGUUGUCCGGAUUUAUUGGGCGUAAAGCGAGCGCAGGUGGUUUAAUAAGUCUGAUGUAAAAGGCAGUGGCUCAACCAUUGUGUGCAUUGGAAACUGUUAGACUUGAGUGCAGUAGAGGAGAGUGGAAUUCCAUGUGUAGCGGUGAAAUGCGUAGAUAUAUGGAGGAACACCGGUG
rnacentral:rRNA from 1 species